rnacentral:rRNA from 1 species
GGGUAAAAGCACUGUUUCGCUGCGGGCGGCGAGAGCUGUACCAAAGCGAGGCAAMYUCUGAAUACUAACUCAAAAACUACCAGUGAGACGGUGGGGGAUAAGCUUCAUCGUCGAAAGGGAAACAGCCCAGACCACCAGCUAAGGUCCCCAAAUGGACACUAAGUGAGAAAGGAGGUGGGAGUGCAUAGACAACCAGGAGGUUUGCCUAGAAGCAGCAAUCCUUGAAAGAGUGCGUAAUAGCUCACUGGUCAAGCGCUCCUGCGCCGAAAAUGAACGGGGCUAAGUGUCCUACCGAAGCUGUGGACUUGAAAUACAAGUGGUAGGGGAGCGUUCUGUAUGGGGUGAAGCACUAGCGGCAAGCAGGUGUGGACUGUACAGAAGUGAGAAUGUCGGCUUGAGUAGCGAAAAUAUGUGUGAGAAUCACAUACCCCGAAACCCCAAGGGUUCCUCCGCAAGGCUCGUCCGCGGAGGGUUAGUCAGGGCCUAAGGCGAGGUCAGUUGACGUAGUCGAUGGACAACGGGUGAAUAAUCCCGUACUCAGUUGAAUUUGUGCAGGGGGACGGAGAAGGCUGUCCUGAGCCGGAAGUUGGUUACCGGUGCAACCGUACAAGGUGUUGAGGAGCGGAGAAAACGCUCUGAGCUAAGGCGGGAGUCCGACCCGAUACGUCGGGGAAGUCAGUGAAGUCAGGCUUCCAAGAAAAGCCCUAACCACGUUAAAUUCAAUUGACCUGUACCCGAAACCGACACAGGUGGGGUGGUAGAGAAUACUGAGGGGCGCGAGAUAACUCUCUCUAAGGAACUCGGCAAAAUGACCCCGUAACUUC